AGGAAGACGAAUUCUGGGACAUUGUUUGUUGAACCUUUCAAAUACCGCGCGAGGACAGAACAAAGGACCACGUGCUCCACGCUCACGCAAAGAUCCAGCGAAGCGUGCACGCGCGUCACGUGGCCUCUGGCACACGCCACGCACAUGGGACACUUUUGCAAACUAAAGAUCUUUUCUUGUGUUCAACUGAAGAAAGAAAGUCUGGGACAACAUGAGGGUCUGCCUCAGAUGGAUUUUCUUCGAGUGCAUGAAGGAACUUGAACUUGAAGGAGAACCGCAGAAGACGUAGACGAAAUCUCCGUAUACGCGGAGGUAGUUCAUCCAGCAAUCUCGAGCCCAAUAGACUGACCAAUGGCUUGUGAUCAGUCUUGACCAAAAAAAAACAACCCAAGAAGGUGUCAUGCUUCUUGAAAUGAAAGCAACAGGUCUCCAUUCCUCUGCAGGCUGCAGCUGUGAUAGAACUCCACUUAAUCCAAAGAAAGAAGCAUCCACUGAGACUCUUGUCUGUCGAUCUGGACAAUACUGUGCUAAAACUGCCGGAGAACUGAGCUCUUGUUUAAAUUUUUCAAAUGCUUGCUGUUGUUGUAUCCCCCUUGUCCAGUCAUUUUCAGCUUUAAGCAGGUCUCUGAUCGGUCCCGUCAGCUCUGCAAUGUUGGAAGAGAACUUUCCAAUGUAAUUCACCAUGCCGAGGAAUCUUUUAACAUCGCCAACACUUUUGGCCACUGGCAUCUUUUUUAUGGCUUUUAUUUUGCCAAGGUCUGCUCGUAUGCCCUCUGCGUUAAUGAUAUGUCCCAGGAACCUAUCUUGAGGCAUUGCAAAUUCACAUUUUUCGUUCAAUGUCAGACCAGUCCGUUCCAGCCUGUUCAAGACCUUGAGAAGUCUUGCAUCAUUUUCUUUAUGUGUAGCACCGAACACCAGGAUGUCAUUUGCAUGGCACAAUGUGCCCUCCAGGCCCUCAAGCAUUUGUGUUAGCCAUUUUUGAAAGUGUUCUGGUGCCGAGGAUAUGCCAAAUGGAAGACGGUGAAAGCAGUAUCUCCCAUAAAGUGUAAUGAAAGUAGUGAGGGGGACUGAGUCUUUAUGUAGGGGGAUCUGCCAGAAUCCAGCAGUAGCAUCCAACUUAGAGAACACUGUAGCAGUCUCAUCAACUGUGUUAAAUCAACACAGAUUCAGAUUUUGCCAUUUGGUUUCAGCACUAUCCCCAUACCUGAACACCACUCUGUUGCUUCUUCAAUGGGAGCUAUUACACCAAGUUCUUCCAUCCUUUUCAGCUGUUCUUUGACUUUGUUCAUCAUAGGCAAUGGCACUCGACGAGGGACCGACAGAGCAACUGGGGUAGAAGACUCUUUGAGCUUAAUUUUCAGUUUAUGUUUAUUGUCCCCUAAGGGAAACUUGUCUUACAGCCAGGUAAACACACAGGUAGCACAACAGGUAAACACCACAUAUACGUACAAAUAACAAUACAAACUACUAAUUAAAAACACUUUACACUACUACUCGUCUAGAUCAAGAAUUGGUGUGAGUGAGGACCUCAAAAGAACAAUAAAGGGGGUGAUUUACACAGUCCAAUAUGGCAUCUGCUUUCCUCAUAACCUGCCUCUCAUAUAUAUUUGUCAAGGAAACCUGUGGGCAGUCUAUUGACUUACCAGCCAUUUUUACAAUAUAGCUGAGGUUAUUUUUCUCCCUCAGGUUGAUGCCCCCAUA